rnacentral:rRNA from 1 species
GAUGAACGCUGGCGGCGUGCCUAACACAUGCAAGUCGAACGAAGCACCUUACCUGAUUCUUCGGAUGAAAGUUUGGUGACUGAGUGGCGGACGGGUGAGUAACGCGUGGGUAACCUGCCCUGUACAGGGGGAUAACAGCUGGAAACGGCUGCUAAUACCGCAUAAGCGCACGAGGAGACAUCUCCUUGUGUGAAAAACUCCGGUGGUACAGGAUGGGCCGCGUCUGAUUAGCUGGUUGGCAGGGUAACGGCCUACCAAGGCAACGAUCAGUAGCCGGUCUGAGAGGAUGAACGGCCACAUUGGAACUGAGACACGGUCCAAACUCCUACGGGAGGCAGCAGUGGGGAAUAUUGCACAAUGGGGGAAACCCUGAUGCAGCAACGCCGCGUGAGUGAAGAAGUAUUUCGGUAUGUAAAGCUCUAUCAGCAGGGAAGAUAAUGACGGUACCUGACUAAGAAGCUCCGGCUAAAUACGUG